rnacentral:rRNA from 1 species
CCUACGGGGGGCUGCAGUGGGGGAUAUUGGACAAUGGGGGAAACCCUGAUCCAGCGACGCCGCGUGAGUGAAGAAGUAUUUCGGUAUGUAAAGCUCUGUCAGCAGGGAAGAAAGAAAUGACGGUACCUGACCAAGAAGCCCCGGCUAACUACGUGCCAGCAGCCGCGGUAAUACGUAGGGGGCAAGCGUUAUCCGGAAUUACUGGGUGUAAAGGGAGCGUAGACGGUGAUGCAAGUCUGGAGUGAAAGGCGGGGGCCCAACCCCCGGACUGCUCUGGAAACUGUGUAACUUGAGUGCAGGAGAGGUAAGCGGAAUUCCUAGUGUAGCGGUGAAAUGCGUAGAUAUUAGGAGGAACACCAGUGGCGAAGGCGGCUUACUGGACUGCAACUGACGUUGAGGCUCGAAAGCGUGGGGAGCAAACAGGAUUAGAUACCCUAGUAGUC